GAGCUUAUUUUAUUGAGCUCGACUCGAGCUCGAGAUGAACAUUUACUCUUCAUCAAUAUUAUCAUACUGGCGGAAUCCGGAAAGAGAAAGACAGAGGGAGGGAUUUUAUCGUUCGUGGAGUAGUUUCACUUGCACCCUCCUCUUUUUCUUCUUCGAUGCCAAUCCUUAGCAACAACAGUAUGCGCACCCCUUUCCUUGGCAAGAUGAGGAAGCAGGCCUCUUUCUUCCUCAGAGAGAAGCUCAGAAGCUCUCAGUUGGCCUUGACCAGCGUAACCCCUGAAGAGUGAUUUUUCCUCUUUAUUUUAAUUUUGGGGUUUCAAAAGAAGGACAGAAGAAGCGGCAAAUAGUAAUCCAUGGGUAACCGAUGUGGGGACGAUGAGUUUCAUAUCAAAAGCAGCCUUUGGACUUGGUGACUACUGCAGAAUUGUGGAAAUCUUGCUUAAGAGAUAGUUGUUUCCUUCUAUAAGUAUGAUUUUUUAGAUAUAUUUUUCUCGUUGUUUACUUGUUUAGUAGUAUAAGUAUGCUUACAUGAUUGGUAGAUAUGUUUCUAGUUAUUUUGUUUUUUGAUGCAUUUUUAACUCAUCCUCCUUGGAACAAAACAUUAUUGGAAGUUGGAACACAUUCUUCCAGGUUGUGGGCCUUUUCUUCCUUUUCCCUUUGAUGCCAUGUUUUCGUCGUUGACUUCAAUUGUUAGAUUUGGGUGCUUUGGCUCAAUGAUUUUUUGUUUGAGAAGCUGUAUAAUGUCGAACAAGUUCUGUAUCAUGUAAGUUUUCAAUGAAAAGGCUUUUCGAUUCUCUUAACAUUGAGACCGAAAGGUUUAACCAGCUAUUUGAUGGAGAAUAAGGAAGGCCAGAACAUCCACGGCGUUGGGUGAUACUUUCCCCAUUUUUCCGAAUUUUGUGACUUGGCUUCUCGAUGUAAGUUUCACUCGAGUAAGUCUUCAUUUUCUUUCUUGGAGUAGUUCACUGUUCAGUUGCUACUGUUUCCUCAGUCUCUAAGGAAUUAUAUUCCAUUGUUGUGUUAAAUUGUAUCAACUAGUUACUAAUGUUUUUUCAGCCUCUUUAUUGGGUCUUUUGGCUUAAUUUCUCAUAAGCAUUUCAGAUUCUAGUGUUAUUUUUAUUUGGUAUUCUGUUCUUACAUUUAAAUAAAAUUCAACACUGCAGUUAUCUUGAUGUGGAUCCAGGUUAGCAAAACUACUAAUCAGAUUCAGGUUUUAAACCAAAUUGGAGACCAUUUGCAUUCCUAUUCCACAGACUCAUUCUUGACAGCAGGUACGCAGCUCGAUACAAGCCAACUUAACUUGAUUAGCACCCACACUGCAAGAACUAUCUCAAUUGUAAAUUGGAAAAGACAGGAUCAUAACACUGAUAUAAAUGUCUACAUGUGCCCAUAAAUACAUCAUCCACAGCAAAGCGCAGGUAUGCAUCAAUCUUUUUGAAAUCAGGUGCAUCCUCAUUCCUGCAACAGCAAGGCCGAACAUCUCAGAAAAAUAAUUGUACGAAAAACUGUCAUGUUCUAUACAAAUGAGUUCAGAUUGUGACAAGAAUGAGGUAGUACGUACAGAGAU